AUGCAGUCGACGGCAGCACGGAGCUUGCUCUGGUGGCGAGUGGCGAACGGGUGAGUAAUAUAUCGGAACGUACCCUAGAGUGGGGGAUAACGUAGCGAAAGUUACGCUAAUACCGCAUACGAUCUAAGGAUGAAAGUGGGGGAUCGCAAGACCUCAUGCUCGUGGAGCGGCCGAUAUCUGAUUAGCUAGUUGGUAGGGUAAAAGCCUACCAAGGCAUCGAUCAGUAGCUGGUCUGAGAGGACGACCAGCCACACUGGAACUGAGACACGGUCCAGACUCCUACGGGAGGCAGCAGUGGGGAAUUUUGGACAAUGGGCGAAAGCCUGAUCCAGCAAUGCCGCGUGAGUGAAGAAGGCCUUCGGGUUGUAAAGCUCUUUUGUCAGGGAAGAAACGGUGAGAGCUAAUAUCUUUUGCUAAUGACGGUACCUGAAGAAUAAGCACCGGCUAACUACGUGCCAGCAGCCGCGGUAAUACGUAGGGUGCAAGCGUUAAUCGGAAUUACUGGGCGUAAAGCGUGCGCAGGCGGUUUUGUAAGUCUGAUGUGAAAUCCCCGGGCUCAACCUGGGAAUUGCAUUGGAGACUGCAAGGCUAGAAUCUGGCAGA
rnacentral:rRNA from 1 species